rnacentral:rRNA from 1 species
UGGGGAAUUUUGGACAAUGGGCGCAAGCCUGAUCCAGCCAUGCCGCGUGCGGGAAGAAGGCCUUCGGGUUGUAAACCGCUUUUGUCAGGGAAGAAAUCUUCUGAGUUAAUACCUCGGGAGGACGACGGUACCUGAAGAAUAAGCACCGGCUAACUACGUGCCAGCAGCCGCGGUAAUACGUAGGGUGCAAGCGUUAAUCGGAAUUACUGGGCGUAAAGCGUGCGCAGGCGGUUUUGUAAGACAGAGGUGAAAUCCCCGGGCUCAACCUGGGAACUGCCUUUGUGACUGCAAGGCUUGAGUGCGGCAGAGGGGGCAUGGAAUUCCGCGUGUAGCAGUGAAAUGCGUAGAUAUGCGGAGGAACACCGAUGGCGAAGGUAAUUCCCCCUGGGCCUGCACUGACGCUUCAUGCACGAAAGCGUGGGGAGCAAACAGGAUUAGAUACCCUGGUAGUCC